UUAUUUUAUGAGUUGCAUCGGUAUGAAUUAGAGACAGAAAAUAAAGGUGUAAAGGUUUGUAAAUUUUUAAAAAGUAAAUUUAGGACUUGCCUUGAUUGAGCAUUGCUCUCUAGGCUGAGUAGAGUGAGUUUGCCGGAGUAAAGGUCCCUGGUCGAGCAUUGCUCUUUGGGCAUUGGUUUAUUUAGAAACCUAAGUGACCAGACUAGAGUUAAGGACCUUGGUCGAGCUUCGCUCUCUGGGCGCCAGUCUUAUUGGAGUAAGAGAGCCGAAAGGCUAAGACUGAUAGUGAUAGUUAAGUGACCGGACUGGAGUUAAGGACUCUGGUCGAGCUUCACUCUCUAGGCGCUAGUUCUGUUGGAAUGAGAGAGUCAAGAUGUUAGUGUUGGGAUUAGGGUUCUAUUGAAGUACUCCGUCCCGUAGUAUGUGAAAGUUAUAUUUUUAUUUAAGCAUGGCAUGACACGUAUAUUUUUGCAUGACUUAAUGUUUAUUUCAAAUUGAAUAAAUGUAUUAUUGAAAUGUUUGAAAUUAUUUUUGGAUAUAUGAUUUUAACUCACUCUCGAGACUGACAGUCUCAUUUUUACUGUUUUUUAGGUGAUUGUUAGUCUUCCCGCAGUCCUCAUAUAGCAACCCGACUCCUACAGCAUCGGGUUGAUGUAAUUGAUUUUGAUAUAUUUGACUUGUAGAAUUUUAGAUUUUCCGCAGUAGAAAUAUUAGACUUAUUAGUUGUAAUUUUAUGUAAAUACAGGUCUUGCCUAAUUAUGCUGGCAGAUCGAAUUAAAUAUGUAGAAUUUGAUGGUUAAGGUUAAUUGUGAAUCAGUGCUUUGGACUGAGUCCGAAUUUCAAUUUAUUUGAGUUAGUGAAUGGUCAGGCUUACCACGGGGUUCAGUAGCCUUACGCCUACCCAUUCUCUAAUGCCGAUCACGGGCCCACAGGUCGGGCCGUGAUAUUACCAACCUAAUUAAUUUCUUUAAGCUCACUUGUGAAACUUCAUUUUAAAUCUUUUCCAACAGAAUCUCCAUUACCAAUUUCGUAAGAACCCGACUUCAUUAACCUUGACUUUCGAAUCAGUUGUGGAUGUGGUGGUGGUGGAAAAGGAUGAGGAGGAAGGGGAGGCAGAGACCUGUGAAAGCUUUUCCUCCUGACAAAGUCCUCUGCACUUUUAGCUUAUGUCUCUAUAGAGAAAGAAGGAGGAACAAUAACUUCUUCGGCGAAGAUAUUAAAAGUGAAAGGGAUAGUUUCAGAGAGGCAAUAACUUCCUCGAUUAUGCAUGAGGGCAAUCAAUCGCAUCGCUUAUUUUCUUGAGGCUUCUUUCUCUAUUGCACUCAAAUAUACUCAGUCCACCGUUCCUCACCCUCCUUCUCUCCCUUUCCCUUCCACUGCUACAUUCAAAUUGGAUAUGCUUUUUAAAUAAUAAAAGAGGGGGUGGUGGUCAAUGAAAUUUUGAUUAUCGAUAAAGGAAAAAGGGUUGGAUCUGAUAUAAUAUUUCCUUCAUGGAAUCACAUCAUGGUGUUGUUGCUUUGAGGUGCAUUAUUGACUAAGACUAAUACGUAAUGGUAGUAUUUUUUUUUAGAGAAUAAGAAAUGGAUAGUGUUUAUUUUGCUUUUUUUUUUUUUUCUGUAGAGAAGGAGAAAAGGAUUAAAAGUCUAAAAAAAAUAAAAAAUGCCACAUAAUUCCUCAAAUAUCGGCUGUCUCCAUCUUAAAGAGGCACCAUUAGGUGACAAAUGUCAACAAAACCUUGAAUUUUUCAGUUAUCUGCAUCUAAAAAU
rnacentral:lncRNA from 1 species